AAAUUCAGUUAAAUUAUGUGUCUUUCCUGAACCAGCAAAUCCAAUGAAUGGUGUCAAAUCAAAUUCCAUCCUCUCAUUAAUCAAAUCUAGUAUAGAUUCUUCGUUCAUGAGUAGGUCAAUUAAAUUCCGAUUUAUUAGCCUUCCUUCAUUGACUUUUUGACGAUCAAUCAAAGCUCCGCAGUUCAUGCUUUUAAAGCUUCUCAACAAUUGAAGGCCCCUAUUGGAAUCCACUCUUUUCUUGAUCAUACUGGGUCUUCUAAAUCCAUAGACACCUUGAUAAAUCUUGGAUACACUCUCAUUGAUGGAUUCACAAGCUUCGAAUUUAUCCUGCAGAUUGAAAAUGUGCCCUGGCCUUCCACCCAAGUGCAUAACGUGCUUGUCUGGAGAAAAAUUGAAAUUCCUGAUUUCAGAGCCCAGAUGAAGGCACACAUACCAAUCCAUUACCAUACAUAUUCUAUGAAUUUCUGACUCCAGUAAUGGUUUGUCCAAACUUAUCUUCAUUAAUAUUCCACCAUCUGAUACUUUAUCCAAAUGAUCGACAACUUUAUCGAUUAAUCCAUCAGUAGUGGAAUUGGUCAAUUGUGAGAUAGCUUCAAAGAAACAGGCGUUUCUUCGAGUAUUUGUUCCUUCUUUAAGCUCCUCAUUGAUCUCACUUUGAUUUAUUGAUGGUGAGCACUUUAAUCCAUCUUUCCCUUUUCUUUCGCUCUCACCCCUUUUAAUAUUUGAGACUUGAGUUUGAUGUAGAAUUGGUAAUUUACCUUUCCUAUUUUCAAUAAGUUUGAUCAAUCCCAAUUCAUUGUUUUUAAUUUCAGGCUUUUUCUUUUCCUUCUCCUUUUCUGCAUUUAAUUUUUCUCCCUCCUUCUCCCUAAGCUCACUCGCACCUUUGGAUUCCUUUGGAUUUUGAAUUUCAUGGGGCUCACCCUGCCUAGAUUCAGUUGAAGCAGAUUCAAAAUUAUCCUCAAUUAAAUUUUCCUUAAAUUUGUCCUGACUGUGAUUCAAUUCAAGGUCGGCAGAUGUUUCUAGGUUCAGUCCAUUCAAUUGUCUAAAGUUCUUGAUUGAAAUACUUGAUGUUGGCUUAGACAAUUCAUUUCUAUCAUUUAGAUGAACAUCCAAGUGUAGUAAAUCCACAUAGACUGAAAAACUUAUAUCUUCAAUGAAUAGAUUAUCUAGAAUCAUCUUUUUGUAAAAAUCCUUAUUCAUUAGCCAGUGAUCAAAUUUCCCUUCACCUCCAGUAAUCACAUUAAUUGCUGAGCUCCAGGGAUUUUUAACAAAGUCUGAAAAAGUAAAUUCAGAUCCAACUUUGAAUUUAAUGAGCACCUCAGACAAUUCAGAGACAAUCUUAGCUUCAACCAUACUUAAAUUGAAAUCAGACAGUUGCCGCAGUUUUGCCAAAGCCGAUUCAAUGUCUGGUUUUUUAAGGCAGAUCAAGUAAGAGAAGACCUUUUCGAUUACCCAAGUUCUCACUCGGCAU
rnacentral:misc_RNA from 1 species